UUUUGUGCAUGCGCAGAAGGUCGGCGCGUGCCCUUCCGAACCAGUAAGGAAGGCAGAGGAUUGGAGAGUGGAAGAAGUGUCUGCAGAGAGCCAAAGCUGGUGACAGUGAACAGCCAGGAUGCAGAGUUGGUUGUCCUUGUAUAAAUGUGCCAGUCACAUAGCUCCUCCUGUUUUUUUAAAGCUGAGGAAGACCUGCCAUGGAGACUUCUCAGCUUCCUGCAAUGCAAAUGGAAGUAACUGUACAGACAGGGACUCCUGUUUCCCAUCAGCUUUUUUUUUUUUUUAAUGAAGUAGAUGUACAUUCCUGAAAUCAGUGAUUUAUGAAAAAUGUGCCUUCUUCUCAAAA